rnacentral:lncRNA from 1 species
CACUACUAGACUUCUAAUGUUUAUUUAUCGCUAAAACAAAAGAGUGAUAUAUUCCAGGACUUAGAAUAGUGCCUAAAGUGCUGUAGCCAAAGACAGAAGCUGGCAAGAGGGCACAGCAGAGGGCAAAUGUGAAAAAUGGGCUUCGAGAUGGCAGGGGCAGUUGCCACUAAGCCUGGCAAUUGAGCCAGCUGAGGCUGAAGACAGUUGAGGUGGCUCUACCUCCACCCCCUGGAAAUUCUGAACUAGAGGAAUCUCAACAUGUGUUUCUUGCCAGGAUCCUUGGACCCAAAGCACAGAAUCCCCAAGCCUGCUUUUGUUGAUAUUUAUAGAGAAUGCUAGCUGGUCUGGACACAUUUGCCCCAAAUUUCAGCUAUGAAACUUGAGAAUAUUUUUCAAAUCCAAUUUGUUUUUCCUUUGCAGAGGAAGAAAACACUCGCUGAAAGGGUGUUAGCAAAGGAAGGUGAGGGUAGGGAGUACAUUAAUUUGGAUCUUCUUUUAGUUGAAAUGCAUCUUUUAAGAAACUUUUGACAACCAUAGACAAGAAUUUUAUCUAAAUUACUUCCCUACCUAUCAACUGUUUUUAGAAGAAGAGGAACAUCUCUCAACCACUUCUUAGAAUUGUCUUGAUUUUUCAGCAAUUUAAACUCUAAUGUAGUUCUACGUAGAGAAUGUCACUA